AUGAACAUGUUAUAUAUUCCCAUUUUUAUUCAAUUUUUUUUUUUUUAUGAUAGUCACAGAGAGAGAGAGAGAGAGAGAGAGGGGCAGAGACACAGGCAGAGGGAGAAGCAGGCUCCAUGCACCGGGAGCCCGACGUGGGAUUCGAUCCCGGGUCUCCAGGAUCGCGCCCUGGGCCAAAGGCAGACGCCAAACCACUGCAACACCCAGGGAUCCCUCCUUUUUUUUUGAAUAGUUUGAGGAGGAUAGAUAAACUCUUCUUCAAAGGGUAGAAUUUACUUGUGAAUCCAUCUUGUCCUGAAUUUCUAUUUUUUGGUGGUAGUUUUUUUUUUUUUUUCCUCCCAAUUCAAUUUCAAUACUUACAAUCAGUUUGUCCAGAUUCUGUUUCCUCUUGGUUUAGUUUUGGAAGAUUUACAGGUUUCCAGGGAUUUAUCCAUCUCUCUAGGUUGCCAAGCUUGCUAGCAUAUUAUUUUUCAUUGUAUUCUUCUUCUGUAGUGUCAUUUGUGUUCUCUCAUUUAUUAUUUUAUUUGGGUCCUUUCUCUUCUUUGAGUCUAGCUAAACGUUUGUCAGUUUUAUCUUUUCAAUUUUUUUAGUCUCUACAUUAUUUCUGCUCUAAUCUUUAUUUCCAUCCUUCUCACCCUGGGCUCACUUUGUUCCAGUUCCUAUGGGUGUAAGGUUUAGAUUGUUGGAGCUUUUUCUUGUUUCUUGAGGUAGGCCUGUAUUGCUAUAUUCUUUCCUCUUAGAACUACUUUCCUUGUGUGCCCGAGAUUUUUGGACUAUUUUCAUUAGUAUCCAUGUAUUUUUUUUAACUCUUCUUUGAUUCAUUAAUCCAUCGGCUAUUUAGUAUCAUGUGGUUUAGUCUCCAUGGGUGUUUUCCCAGUUAUUGUGAUCUAUUUCUAGUUUCAUAUAGUUGUGACUAGAAAAGAUGCAUACUAUGAUUUCAUUCUUAAAUUUAUCGAGGCUUGUCUUAUGACCUAAUAUGUGAACUAUUCUGGAGAAUGUUCCAUAUGCACUUGAAAAGAAUGUAGAUUCUGUCUUGAGAUGGGAUGUUCUGGAUAUAUCUUCUGUCCAUCUGGUCCAAUGUUUUAUUUAAAGACAUUAUUUCCUUAUUUUCUGUCUGGAUGAUCUAGCUAUUGAUAUUAGUUUAUCUUUAUUCCUGUUAAUAAUUGCUGUAUGUAUUUAGGUGCUCCACUGUUGGGUGCAUAGAUACUUAUAUUUUUAUCAUCAAGUUUUUAUUUAAAUUCUAGUUAACAUAGAGUAUAAUAUUGGUUUCAUGAGUAGAAUUUAGUGAUUUAUCACUUAUGUAUAAUCCCCAGUGCUCCUCAGGGGAUGGGCUAAAUGGGUGAUGGAUAUCACGGAGGAGGGCACUUGUGAUAUUUAUAAUUGUUAAAUCAUCUUGUUGGAUAGAUCCCUCUAUCAAUUUAUAAUGGCCUCCUUUGUCUCUUGUUACAGUCCUCGUUUUAAAGUCUAUUUUCUCUGAUAAAAGUAUUUCUAUCCUAGCUUUUCUUUCCUACUUCAAUUUGGAUGGUGAAUGUUUUUCUAUUCCUUCACUUUGUCUACGUGGGUCUUUAGAUCUGACAUGAAUCUUAUAGGCAGCAUGUAGAUGACCUUUUUUUUCCCUCCAUUUUUCCACUUUGUCUUUAGAUUGGAGCAUUUAGAUCAUUUACAUUUCUUUCUUUCUUUCUUUCUUUCUUUCUUUCUUUCUUUCUUUCUUUCUUUCUUUAUUUAUUAUUUUUGAUCAUUUACAUUUAAAGUAACUAUUGAUAGGUACUUCAUCUUAAAAUUUUGUUUUCUGUUUUGUUUUUUAGUUCUUAUUCUUUUUGAAUGAGUUUAGUGUUUGGAUUUCUUUAUUUAUUUUUUUUUUUGGAUAUAUCUCAGUUUUGGAUUUGUGUUACCAUGAGGUUCAUGUAUAACAUUCUAAGUAAAUAGCAGUCUCUAUUAAUUAUGAUUAAAGUUGAAUCACAUUCAAUUAUUUGAUGGUGAUUUGAGUUCAAUCAUAUUCUAAAAGAUUUUUUCCUCUCCGCUUUUUACUCCCUUCUCCACAUCUUAUGUAUACAUUGUCAUAUUUUACAUAUUUUUAAUGUUUUUCUUAUGUCUACUUAUGACCACUUCCUAUCCAAUUAAAGGUCCCUUGAACAUCUUUUUUCUUCUUGCUACACAAUUGCUUCCUUUAUCAGAAAAGGCUAUAUUAAGGACUUUAGUCUGUUCUUAAAAUUUUAAUUCCAGCAUAGUUAAUAUAUAGUGUUUCAGGUGUACAAUAUAGUGAUUCAAUGAUUCUGUACAUUCCUCUGUGCUCUUCAUGAUAAGUGUACUUUUGGCCCCCUUCACUUAUUUCACCCACCCCCUCACCCACCUCCUUCAUGGCAACCAUCAAUUUGUUUUCUAUAGUUAAGAGUCUGGGUUUUGUUUUUUGGGGUAUUUUUUUUGGGGGGGGUCUUUUUUUUCUUGAAUUGCACAUAAGUGAAAUCACAGUAUUUCUGACUUAUUUCACUUUGCAUUAUACACUCUAGAUCCAAAUAGCUGCAAAUAGCAAGAUUUCAUCUUUUUUAUGGCUGCAUAAUGUCAAACCGUGUAAAUGUAUGUACAUCUCCUUUUCCAUUUGUCUUGGACACCUAGGUAGCCUCCGUAAUUUGGCUUUUGUAAAUAAUACUUCAACAAACACUGGAGGAACAUAUCUCUUCAAAACUGUUUUCAUAUUUUUUGGCUAAAUACCCCAUAGUGAGUAGAAUUACAUGUGAUAAUUCUCGAAUAUGCCUUAAUUCUAUUUUUUUAUUUUAUUUUUCCUAAUUCUAUUUUUAAUUUUUGGAGGAACCUCCAAACUGUCUUCCAAAGUGGCUAGACUAUUUUGCAUUCCCACUAACAAUGCACCAGAGCUUUCUCCACAUCCUCACCAACACUUGUUUCUUAUGUUUUUGAUUUUAGCCAUUCUGACAGAUGUGAGGUGAUAAAUCAUUGUGGUUUUGUUUUGCUUUUCCCUGAAGAGAAAAUGUUCAGCAUCACUCAUCAUGUGUUUGUUGGCCAUCUGUAUGCUCUCUUUGGAGAAAUAUCUGUUCAUGCCUUCUGCCCACUUUGAAAUUAGAAUUUUUUUUUUUUUGGUGUUAGGUUGUAGAAGUUCUUCAUGUUUUUUUUUUAUAAAUUUAUUUUUUAUUGGUGUUCAAUUUGCCAACAUAUACAAUAACACCCAGUGCUCAUCCCAUCAAGUGCCCACCUCAGUGCCCAUCACCCAGUAACCCCAUCCCCCCACCCACCACCCCUUCCACCACCCUUAGUUCCUUUCCCAGAGUUACGAGUCCUCUCACGUUUUGUCUCCCUUUCUUAUAUUUACCACUCAUUUUUUCUUUCCCGUUUAUUCCCUUUCACUAUUUUUUAUAUUCCCCAAAUGAAUGAGACCAUAUAAUGUUUGUCCUUCUCUGAUUAACUUACUUCACUCAGCCAUAAUACCUUCCAGUUCCAUCCCCGUCGAAGCAAAUGGUGGGUAUUUUGGGUACUAGCCCUUCAUCAGAUAGGUCAUUUGCAAAUAUUUUCUCCCAUUCAGUAGGUUGUCUUUUAGUUUUGUUGGUUUCCUUUGCAAUGUGAAAGCUUUUUGAUGUAGUCCCAAUAGUUUAUUUUUGCUUUUGUUUCCCUUGCGUCAGGAGACUUACCUAGAAAAAUGUUGCUAUAGCCCAUAUCAAAGAAAUGACUGUGCUCUUCUAGGAUUUUUAGUUUUAGGUCUCACAUUUGAGUUUUUGUGUAUCAUGUAAGCAAGUGAUUCAGUGUUGUCCUUUGCAUGUAGCUGUACAGUUUUCCUGGCAUUAUUUACUAAAAAGACUUCUAUUUUCCUGGUUGUAUAUUCUUACAUCUUUUUGUCAGGGACUAUUUUACUGUAUAAUUGUAGCUUUAUUCCUGGGUUCUCCAUUCUGUUCUGUUGUCUUAUGUGUGUAUUUGUGCUAAUACCAUACAUUUUGAAUACUAUAGCUUUGUGUAAUGUAUAUCAAAAUCUGAAGUUGUAAUCCCUCCAGCUUUAUUCUUAGAAUUGCUUUGGUUAUUUGGGGGUAUUCUGGGGUUCCAUAAAAGUUUAGGAUUCUAGUUUUGUUGGUAUUUCAAUAGGGAUUGCAUUGAAUCUGUAGACAGGGUAAUAUGGACAUCUUGGCAAUAUAAAUUCUUUCAAUCCAGGAGUAUGGAAUAUCUUUCCAUCUUUCUUAAUUUUUUAGCAGUGUAUUUUUUUUUUUUCUAGUUUUCAGAGUACAGGUCUUUCAGCUCUUUGGUUAAGUUUAUUCCUGGAUAUUUUAUUCUUUUUGGUGAAAUUGUAAAUGGGAUUGUCUUAUAAGUUCUGCAACUUUAUUAGGGUAUAGAAAUGCUAUCAAUUUCUGGGUGUUAAUUUUUGUAUCCUGCCACUUUCCUGAUUUCAUUUAUUCUAGUAGCUUUUUGAUGAUUAUCUUUAGGAUUUUCUAUGUAUACUGUCAUUUGAAAAUAGUGAUAGUUUUUCUUUACCAAUAUGAAUGCCUCUUAAUUGAUGUGACUGACUUCCAAUAUUAUGUUUAUUAAAAGUGGCGAGUGUUCAUCCUUUUCUUGCUCCUGAUCUUAAGAGAGAAGCUCC
rnacentral:lncRNA from 1 species